UACGUAGGGUGCGAGCGUUAAUCGGAAUUACUGGGCGUAAAGGGCUCGUAGGCGGCCAACUAAGUCCGACGUGAAAUCCCCAGGCUUAACCUGGGAACUGCGUCGGAUACUGGAUGGCUUGAAUCCGGGAGAGGGAUGCGGAAUUCCAGGUGUAGCGGUGAAAUGCGUAGAUAUCUGGAGGAACACCGGUGGCGAAGGCGGCAUCCUGGACCGGCAUUGACGCUGAUGAGCGAAAGCCCAGGGGAGC
rnacentral:rRNA from 1 species